rnacentral:rRNA from 1 species
AUUGAACGCUGGCGGCAUGCCUUACACAUGCAAGUCGAACGGUAACGCGGGGCAACCUGGCGACGAGUGGCGAACGGGUGAGUAAUGCAUCGGAACGUGCCCAGUUGUGGGGGAUAACUGCUCGAAAGAGCAGCUAAUACCGCAUACGACCUGAGGGUGAAAGCGGGGGAUCGCAAGACCUCGCGCAAUUGGAGCGGCCGAUGUCGGAUUAGCUAGUUGGUGGGGUAAAGGCCCACCAAGGCGACGAUCCGUAGCUGGUCUGAGAGGACGACCAGCCACACUGGGACUGAGACACGGCCCAGACUCCUACGGGAGGCAGCAGGGGGGAAUUUUGGACAAUGGACGCAAGUCUGAUCCAGCCAUGCCGCGUGCGGGAAGAAGGCCUUCGGGUUGUAAACCGCUUUUGUCAGGGAAGAAAUCUUCUGGGUUAAUACCUCGGGAGGAUGACGGUACCUGAGGAAUAAGCACCGGCUAACUACGUGCCAGCCGCCGCGGUAAAAC